UACAGAGGUCUCAAGCGUUGUUCGGAUUCACUGGGUUUAAAGGGUGCGUAGGCUGAUUUGUAAGUCCGUGGUGAAAUCUCCAAGCUUAACUUGGAAACUGCCGUGGAUACUAUAAGUCUUGAAUGUUGUGGAGGUUAGCGGAAUAUGUCAUGUAGCGGUGAAAUGCAUAGAUAUGACAUAGAACACCAAUUGCGAAGGCAGCUGGCUACACAAAUAUUGACGCUGAGGCACAAAAGCGUGGGGAUCAAACAGG
rnacentral:rRNA from 1 species